rnacentral:rRNA from 1 species
UUUUAUGGAGAGUUUGAUCCUGGCUCAGAGUGAACGCUGGCGGCGUGCCUAAUACAUGCAAGUCGAACGAUGAAGCUUCUAGCUUGCUAGAGUGCUGAUUAGUGGCGCACGGGUGAGUAACGCAUAGGUCAUGUGCCUCUUAGUUUGGGAUAGCCAUUGGAAACGAUGAUUAAUACCAGAUACUCCCUACGGGGGAAAGAUUUAUCGCUAAGAGAUCAGCCUAUGUCCUAUCAGCUUGUUGGUAAGGUAAUGGCUUACCAAGGCUAUGACGGGUAUCCGGCCUGAGAGGGUGAACGGACACACUGGAACUGAGACACGGUCCAGACUCCUACGGGAGGCAGCAGU